GGCGUGCUCAACUCCUCAAGGUCCUUUAUUUUGUCAUCCUCCCUGUCGCCUUCUUCAGAUUGUUGAACAUGCUCAACAGAAACUUUUUCUUGCUCAUCAGAGUGCAUAUUUGCCAUGAAUCUUGAAGAGUUCGCUGUAUUUGUACUUCCUUCUUGCAAUAAAGGGUCGGAUUCAUCGCCUCCAUUGCAAAUAGCUGCCUCAAUAGCAUCCCAACAUUUAGAAUCCACACCAUCUACAAGUAUCUUUGCGGAGUAGCUAGUAGGAUCAACUCUAUUAGUCUCAAGUUUGGCUUUAAAUGCGUCAUAGUUGUCAGACAAAUUUCGUGGCCGAAUGUUGUCCCUUUCAUCAAAGUGAAAAACAUGACCCUUCUCUUUAAGCCCAAGAGAUUUGUCACUUCCAUCAAAGUGAAAAACAGGACUCUUCUCUUUUAGCCUUAGAGGUCUUUCUCUUAUGAAUCUAGGACUGCCACAUUUUCCAGGUGAUUGCUUUGUUUUUUCCUUAGGGCUGUUUGGAGACUUCACUGGAAGAAAAGCAGAUGAAGGGUUGCGGCAGCGAAAGAGAUAUGGCUGCAAAUGUUGAUGCCUUAACAAC
rnacentral:misc_RNA from 1 species